UCUUUCUCUUUCUCUUUCUCUUUCUCUUUCUCUUUGUCUUUGUCUUUCUUGUUGUGGUUCAAGCAAGGCAGAGAAAGAAAGAUGAAGUUUCUUU
rnacentral:ribozyme from 1 species